rnacentral:rRNA from 1 species
UACGGAGGAUCCGAGCGUUAUCCGGAUUUAUUGGGUUUAAAGGGUGCGCAGGCGGGAGAUUAAGUCGGCGGUGAAAUUUUGCAGCUCAACUGUAAAAGUGCCUUCGAAACUGGUUUCCUUGAGUGUAGAUGAAGUAGGCGGAAUUUGUGGUGUAGCGGUGAAAUGCAUAGAUAUCACGAGGAACUCCGAUUGCGCAGGCAGCUUACUAAACUACUACUGACGCUCAGGCACGAAGGCGUGGGGAUCAAACAGGAUUAGAUACCCCGGUAUCCCU